rnacentral:sRNA from 1 species
UACCUGCGUUGUCCUGCUGCUCGAAGCGA